rnacentral:rRNA from 1 species
GACGAACGCUGGCGGCGUGCCUAAUACAUGCAAGUAGAACGCUGAAGAGAGGAGCUUGCUCUUCUUGGAUGAGUUGCGAACGGGUGAGUAACGCGUAGGUAACCUGCCUUGUAGCGGGGGAUAACUAUUGGAAACGAUAGCUAAUACCGCAUAACAAUGGAUGACCCAUGUCAUUUAUUUGAAAGGGGCAAAUGCUCCACUACAAGAUGGACCUGCGUUGUAUUAGCUAGUAGGUGAGGUAACAGCUCACCUAGGCGACGAUACAUAGCCGACCUGAGAGGGUGGUCGGCCACACUGGGACUGAGACACGGCCCAGGCUCCUACGGGAGGCAGCAGUAGGGAAUCUUUGGCAAUGGGGGCAACCCUGACCGGGCAACGCCGCGUGAGAGAAGAAGGUUUUCGGAUCGUAAAGCUCUGUUGUAAGUCAAGAACGAGUGUGAGAGUGGAAAGUUCACACUGUGACGGUAGCUUACCAGAAAGGGACGGCUAACUACGUG